UUGAGGUAAGACCUGCCCGAUGUAAUUUAUCAAUGGCCGCGGUAUUCUGACCGUGCGAAGGUAGCAUAAUCAUUAGUCUCUUAAUUAGAGGCUGGUAUGAAUGGUUAAACGAGAAAAUAGCUGUCUCUUAUACAAGAAUUGAAUUUCAUUUUUAAGUGAAAAAGCUUAAAUUUAUCUGAAGGACGAUAAGACCCUAUAGAGCUUUACUUCAACAGAAUAUAAACGACCUAGAAAUUAUCAUUAUUAUUCCACAGAAGUUACGUUGGGGCGACGACAAGACAAUAAAUAACUCUUCAUUCUUAAAACAGUAAAAACUGAAAUAUUGAUCCUUUAGGAAAGAUCAAAUGAACAAGUUACCUUAGGGAUAACAGCGUAAUCCUUUUUGAGAGUUCUCAUCAACAAAAGGGUUUGCGACCUCGAUGUUGGAUUAAGAGUUCACCAGGGUGCAGCAGCUUUGGUAGAUGGUCUGUUCGACCUUUAAUUUCUUACG
rnacentral:rRNA from 1 species